CCCUUAGAUGUCCGGGGCCACACGCGCGCUACACUGAAGGAAUCAGCGUGGCUUUCUCCCUGACCCGAAAGGGUUGGGAAACCCGUUGAAUCUCCUUCGUGAUAGGGAUUGGGGCUUGAAAUUGUUCCCCAUGAACGAGGAAUUCCCAGUAAGCGCGAGUCAUAAGCUCGCGUUGAUUACGUCCCUGCCCUUUGUACACACCGUCCGUCGCUACUACCGAUUGAACGGUUUAGUGAGGGCCUCGGAUUGGUCUCGGCCCGCUCUUUACCGGGCGGCGCCGUUGGUCGAGAAGACGCUCGAACUUGAUCGUUUAGAGGAAGUAAAAGUCGUAACA
rnacentral:rRNA from 1 species